rnacentral:lncRNA from 1 species
GAAGCUAAGGGAUUAUCGGACAAGUAAGUUUCGAAUCUUUGACACUACUAAGAAUGUGCAUGGGAUGAUUUGACGUUGGCCACGGGAACUGGACUAGUAUGACCGAUGUUUCGGAGCUUGUCCUCUGCUUAAAUUAGUAUAGAAAACAAUGUAAACGUGAGAUUGUAAAGUGAAUAAUGCGAGAAAACAUAAUCCUCUAGGAUUCAAAGCUUGUACAAAUAGUUUUUUUUUUUUUUUUGAAGAAUAUACAGUUAAAAAGUAGAGAAAAGUAGUGGGUCUUUAUACAAUGUGGAGCUGAAAAUGAUUUUGAGAAAAAAUAAUUUUAAAUUUUUUUAGCCAAUUGCUUUAAGUCGGCCCCAUGGGCCAGAGUGUGCAUUGAGGUAGGAAUAUUGGUUCAACCAUGUAUUCUAGUGUUAACAAGAUUGUAUGUCAUUAGUGAAAAAGAAUUUGGACUUCAGAGUUUUGACUAGAACUAGGGGAUUGUACGGUUCUCGUCCACUUCUUCGUCAUCACCAUGAUCGAGGUCGUGACAACUGUGCUUGGUUCUCGAGACUCUGGCCAUCACACGAGGAAGAGGUCGUCCUGAACUAAUUAGGCUUUCUUCAUUUUCUAAGGAUUCCUAAGACAUCGAUUUAUCACCCUAAUGAAAUGGUCGUGCAGUCUCGGAUUUCAGCCUCAUCGCCUAUGACCAUCUUACAUGUUUAACAGAUUUAUGGACAGAAUUCGUGCAAGGGCAAACUUAAAUUGCAAUCAUGUCGGUAAGUCCUAAACCAAUCCGCUUAAAUUGCAGCCCAAUUAAUCAAGUAAUUAAUUAAAGUUGCACACGGCAAAUGACAUUGACAUACUGAAUAUGGGGACCAUCUGCCCCCCAACUUGUCACGUGCCUUGUCUUGUCUUCGAUAUUUUGAAUUGCAAAGUCGUCCCCACCAAACUUAUUACUAUUAUCAUUUUGUUGUCGCAAUGUAAAGUCUACGCUCUGCAUUGUUCCCAACGUGCGGGUCUAUCAACUUGCAACACACUUAUUCCAAAAAUAUCCAUGUACAGUUGAGGAAGAAAGAACCCCAGGAGAACUCAGACGGAGAUGAGAGUGAUC